rnacentral:piRNA from 1 species
AGAGAGAGAGAAGACUGACCUGGAUA